GAGGAACUCGAUGUCUUUCUGAAGCCUGAGGCACGAGAUGUUUGGCUCGGAAAGCUCGUCAAAAGAUUAGACGGGUUGAUCCAACUCUUGACAUGGAGGCUGGCAAGGGAGAUGAGAUGACUACGGAUUGUUGUUAACUAUAUCCAUCAAGUCAUUCCGCAUAAGGGCUGUUGAAGUGUUAAUUUCAAGUCAACUAGUGUAUACGGAUUCACACAGUUAAAACAGGUCUCAUCCUAUAGAAGUAGUAGUAGAAGCAUUGGGCUCAAUAGAUAAGUAAUACUGACGGUUAUAAGCAUCAAAACUUGUAACAUAUAUAUAUCUAAAUGUUUUUUUUUUUUUUU